AUUGAACGCUGGCGGCAUGCUUUACACAUGCAAGUCGAACGGUAACAGGUCUUCGGAUGCUGACGAGUGGCGAACGGGUGAGUAAUACAUCGGAACGUGCCUAGUAGUGGGGGAUAACUACUCGAAAGAGUAGCUAAUACCGCAUGAGAUCUAAGGAUGUAAGCAGGGGACCUUCGGGCCUUGCGCUACUAGAGCGGCUG
rnacentral:rRNA from 1 species